UACGUAGGUGGCGAGCGUUGUCCGGAUUUACUGGGCGUAAAGGGCGUGCAGGCGGUUUGUUAAGUGCAGGGUGAAAGCUCCCGGCUCAACUGGGAGAGGUCCUUGCAUACUGGCGAACUCGAGGGAGGCAGAGGCGAGUGGAAUUCCCGGUGUAGCGGUGAAAUGCGCAGAUAUCGGGAGGAACACCAAUUGCGAAGGCAGCUCGCUGGGACGUUACUGACGCUGAGACGCGAAAGCGUGGGGAGCAAACAGG
rnacentral:rRNA from 1 species